rnacentral:rRNA from 1 species
AUUGAACGCUGGCGGCAGGCCUAACACAUGCAAGUCGAGCGGUAACAGGGAUAGCUUGCUAUCUGCUGACGAGCGGCGGACGGGUGCGUAACACGUAGGAAUCUACCAGUAGCGGGGAUAGCCCGGAGAAAUCCGGAUUAAUACCGCAUACGCCCUACGGGGAAAGCAGGGGAUCUUCGGACCUUGCACUAUUGGAUGAGCCUGCGUCGGAUUAGCUAGUUGGUGGGUAAAGGCCUACCAAGGCGACGAUCCGUAGCUGGUCUGAGAGGAUGAUCAGCCACACUGGGACUGAGACACGGCCCAGACUCCUACGGAGGCAGCAGUGGGGAAUAUUGCACAAUGGGCGCAAGCCGUGAUGCAGCCAUGCCGCGUGUGUGAAGAAGG